rnacentral:lncRNA from 10 species
AGGAUUUUGAAAUCUGAACAGAUACCAAUCAGAUUACUGAUGAAAUCAUAAAUGCUUCAAAGAGAGAUUUUAUAAGGCCAAGAGCCUUAAAGAUGUUGUUGUCCAAAAACCACAAUAAAACUGCCUUCAGAUGAUAAAUCUGGGGACGUUCUGUUGAUGUGCCUUCUGUGAGUUAUGAGAUAAGGAAUCUCUAACCUAAGCUGGAACACAGAGGCCAACUCUACAUCUACCUUCCUCAAAAGCAAGACCACUGCUACAAUCAUCAGGGAAUGGGCCCAACUGGCACUGAACGUCUGACCGCCACUGUCUUUCAUCAGGCGAAUUUGAACAUGCUGGAGAUAGGCAGAGAAUGCUAUUCGGGCCUGCAUUUUGCUAUAGAAAUCCAAAACAACAUACCGUUAUGUGACAGAAGUGUAAAACUACAAAAUGUGUACUUGCUUCUCUCCAAGUGGCCUUUGAGGAUGCUUCUAUUAUGAUGGCUAAGAAAUAUGAAACCCAUCUUACAGCCUGUGAAUAAGGAUUCCUUCUAAGCAGUACAUGAAGGUUUUUCUUUUUAAAUUUCCUAUUAAAAGAAUCAGAGAUGGAGAAUCCUAUUUAUUUUCUCAUUAUUAGCAUAAGGGAAAAAAAGAAGAAUAGAAAAUUAGAUUUCUUACUCCUUCUCUUUGAAAUUUUUUUUUUGAGACAAGGUCUCAUUCUGUCACCCAGGCUGCAGUGUAGUGGUGGAAUCUCAGCUCACCGCAACCUCCAUCCUGCUGGAUUCACGUGAUUCUUGUGCCUCAGCCACCCAACUAGCUGGACUUACAGGUGCACACCAUCACACCCAGCUAAUUUUUGUAUUUUUAGUAGAGACGGGGUUUCACCAUGUUGGCCAGGCUGGUCUCGAACUCCUGGCCUCAAGUG